UUCACAGUCUUUCUUACAAGGAGCCGUGGGACCCAGCAGAAAAGGUGACCAAGACGGUCUAAGGUGGGAAAUUCCAAGUCUGAGUCCACCACUCCAGCUAAGUAGCACCUGGAGAUAGAAGCCACCGCAUUGUGCGCUGAAGAGGCUAGAGCCCUGGACCCAAUCAGGAGCCCAGAGCAGCUGACAGACCUAGGGUCAUUGAUGAUCAGUUAAGAUCAAAUAUGAAAUCGAUCAUGCUGGAGUAGACAGAACUCAGUGUUCCCAGGACAUUAUAGGGCAGGGAAGUCUGGAGACCGGCAGCAGGCGGACACACAGACUCAGACACACAGAGGCUAUGUGAAGC